AGUGAACGCUGGCGGCAGGCCUAACACAUGCAAGUCGAACGGCAGCGGGCAGUAGCAAUACUGUGCCGGCGAGUGGCGGACGGGUGAGGAAUACAUCGGAAUCUACCCUGUCGUGGGGGAUAACGUAGGGAAACUUACGCUAAUACCGCAUACGACCCACGGGCGAAAGCGGCGGACCGCAAGGCGUCGCGCGAUUGGAGGAGCCGAUGUCCGAUUAGCUAGUUGGCGGGGUAAAGGCCCACCAAGGCGACGAUCGGUAGCUGGUCUGAGAGGAUGAUCAGCCACACUGGAACUGAGACACGGUCCAGACUCCUACGGGAGGCAGCAGUGGGGAAUAUUGGACAAUGGGCGCAAGCCUGAUCCAGCCAUGCCGCGUGUGUGAAGAAGGCCUCGGGUUGUAAAGCACUUUUGUUGGGGAAGAAAAGCGCCUGGUUAAUACCCGGGUGUUCUGACGGUACCCAAAGAAUAAGCACCGGCUAACUUCGUGCCAGCCGCCGCGGUAAUAC
rnacentral:rRNA from 1 species